AAGGCUGGCUAACAGUGGGAACACGUAUUGGCCUCCGAAGCCAAGGGUCGUGGGUUCGAUCCCCGCCAGCCGCACCA
rnacentral:tRNA from 1 species